GCCACCAUCAACUAAGUAAACACACCCAGGGCAACAGAAAACAUUCAUGAAGAAUCUCGACUUCAGCAAAAGUUUGUAUCCACGAUGUUAAAGGCGAUCCAGUAAACUCCGGGAAUUCCAAUGUUUUGUUGACUCUUGUAUUGUCUGCGUGGAAAAUAAAAAUGUGUAGAUGGGGCUGCACUACAGUCGACACGACCUACAUGUGCAAAUGGUGUGGGACAAGAUAUUGUAAAGAAUGUGGCAGAGGGGAUUUCACUGGUGUCAUGAAGUCACCUGACAAGUGUCAGAAAUGUUUUCAGAAGAAAUGUCAAGGUCAGAGGGUUGAGUACGUUCCUAGACCUCCUCCACAGACAAAGGACAAGAAAGCCGGAAGCAGCCGAUCGAAAAAAUCAGCAAAGAGCAAGAAAUCCAGAGGAAAAAAGAAAUCUGGGAAAAAAAAGUAUAGGAAGUAGAGUGUGACCCCAAACAAUAAACUAUUUCAAUACAAUUUAUUCUACAUACAGUAAUCAGUUUAAUAAUAUUUGUAUUUGUUUUUGUCAAUGUCCAUUAUGAAUCAGUGGUGAAAAGAAUUUUUUGGUGUAUUUUGACAUUAUAUUGCUGGUUUCCCAGACCUUGAUUCACACUACUCUCGGAGUAGUACCUUUCCUUUGGUAAAAUUAGACAGUCCCCAGUUAGAAGUAAUCACGGUCUGUGAAACCAGUGGUUUAUCACUAUUCACCAUCACAUUUUUGGGGGGCAAAAUUGGAAUACAUUGUACUAAAUACUUUUGUAUUUCUGUUGUACUGUGUGCACCUUAGAAUACUAUAACAGAUAUACCUGAGAACACUUCAGGUGAAAUGAAGACAUGCAAACUGAAAACUUUCUUUAACCUAGUAUGGUAUUGUAUUAUUAGAUCUAGCCUUUUCAUAAAAAUACAAUGCAAAUAUACAGCUAUGGCCCAAAGUUUUGUAUCACCUAAAAAAACUAUAUGAACAUAUACUAUUUUCAUGAUAAUACACCCAACCAAAUUGUGCACAAAUGGUUUGAGGAGCAUGACAGAGACUUUAGGCAUCCUCCAUGGCCACCACAAUCCGCAGAUCUCAGUCCAAACUAUUCCAAAUCUGGUGCUUAGGUAAAUUACUCACAGUCUCCACAUACAACACCACUGUUAAGAAAGAUAAAUGAAAUCAACAACAAACAAUUAUUUUCAGAAAGUAGGCUUUAUUUUAACCAUGUGCAACACACAACCUGUAUAAAUUGUUUCCUAUUGAUUUCUAAUUGAUAUAAUUGUAUACGUAAGCAGAGCAGGAAUUAACCUGCUCUGCUUAAGGUUCAAUAGUGCUCAAGUCACUUUAACAAAACACAAGAAUAAUAAGAAUUUAAACUGUGAUGCUGUUGUCGCCACCACUGCUAGAUUUGAUAAGCUAAAGUGUCUGCAGUUUCUCUGUAGACCUGAAAACUGGAGAGAGGUAUUUGUAUUUUAGCUAUUUUGCAGUAAUGUUUUCCACUUCUAGUGUAAAUAUUACUGCACAAUGACAUCCUAUAUUAUUUAUCAUAUAUAAAUUUGAAAUUAGUUAUGAACAUGAAAAAUAUUUUAUUUAGCGACAUAAGCAUGUUCCUUUAUUUUAAAUUGAGAGACAAGUGUAGUUGACAGGCAAAAAAAAAAAAGAAACCCUAACACUGGCAUUAGCACUGCAGAAAUCAGUGUAACUCGACUUAAAUUGCCCUCCUUAAUUCAGGUUACGUCAUCUUUUUAUUGUUG